GAAGAAGGUUCCCAAGAGCAAGCGCUUCAAUUGUCUGGACUGGGGGACGUAUUGAAGGAGCAGGAUGAGGGUGACACUUGAGUGCCGUUUUUCUACCGACAAUACCGAAUGAAGAAGGACCAGCUCCUGAAGGCGAACAGGCCCUCAACGAACCUCCUGAGACCUCUGCUCACACCUGGGCACAAAGCCUGGGGGGGAAAGGAGGGGUCCAGGUAGUUGAGUGGCUAAACAAUGACCAUCGCUUUCUUCGGGAGACUAGCAAGCAGGUGUCAGCCUUCUCCUCUGAACCCACCUGUUUGGUUGUGAGCUUGGACGGAGAGCUGAUGGUGGUUGGCACUGGACAGGGAAUGCUGCAUUUUAUCAACACACAGACCGGACAGGUGUGAAC